CAGCGCCUUAACCCGAAAGGGGGAACGAUGGUCGUUCACUAAGACGUUUGCCCACAGCAUACAACUGACAACUGUUGUCUGCAGAACUCUGCAUAGAGAAGGACGGAACCCGGAACCCCUCUCUCAAAACCCCACAAAUCCAGCAAUAAAAGAAAGAAAGGGAAAAAAAAAAAAGAAGAAGCAAAAAAGGCCCGCGCCCCGACAAUGCCCCCACCCUCCACCCAGCUAUCGUCCUGGGCCCGCCCGCGCCUCUCCGCACUCCUCCCAGACCUCGACGACGCCUCCCUCACCCAACUGCUCGAAUACACCUGCUCGCUGGACGCCGCGCGCGCCGCGGAGCAUCUGCGCGGGAUCCUGGGCGAUUCGGCGCGGGCGCUGGAGUUUAUUGUUGGGUUUGGGGAGAGGAGGGGGAGGGGUGCUGCUGGUGCUGGUGCUGGUGCUGGUGCUGGAGGAGGAGAUGGUGGGAAGAAGACCGGGAAGGCGGGAGGCGCGCAAGCGCAAGCGCAGGCAGAGAGGAAGCCUCCCUCGGCGGCCGGGCCGUUGAUAUCUGAGUAUCUGCCGAAUGUACGGUCGAAGACUGCGAGGGCGGCUGUUGCGCGGCGACAUCAGCAGCAUCAUGCCGCAUCAUCGCCCUCGACAGAGGCCUCCCCUUCGCGAAACCGCAACAUGUCUACCACUGCAUUUACAACUACAUCUACAACAUCCGACAUAGCCGACCUAACCGCCGCCAUCGCCCAGCUCGAACAAACCACCAACCCCUCCCUCUCCACCACCACCAGCAGCAGCACCACCACCAACAACCCGCGCCAGAAAAGGAAAUGCUCCUGCCAAGCAACCCUGCACCCCCUCUUCACCCCGGCCCCCAACUGCCUGAACUGCGGCAAGAUCAUCUGCGCCCUCGAGGGCCUCCAGCCCUGCUCCUUCUGCCAGCACCCGCCACUCUCGCCGCGCCAGGUGCAGGAGAUGAUCCGCGAGCUGCGCGCAGAGCGCGGAAACGAGAAGAUGCGCGCACAUAACCUUGCGGCCGGGUCCAAGGGGGACCGGCACCGGCAGCAGCAGCAGCAGCAGCAACGGCACGGGGAGAUCUCCAGCGACAACAGCGGCCACGGCCGCGGCCCCGGUACCGACACAAACGAUAAUACAGCGCACGACCUCGCCGCGGCACAGGCGCACCGCGACAAGCUGCUUCGCUUCCAGGCGCAGAACGCGCGGCGCACGAGGGUCGUGGACGAGGUUGCGGAGUUUGAGACGCCGGACGUGCAUGCGGCGAGCACGCUGUGGAUGAGUGCGGGGCAGCGGGCGCUGGCGCUGAAGCGGCAGCAGCGGGUGCUGAGGGAGAUGGAGGAGAAGGAGAGGGAGAGGGAGAGGGGGUCAGUGGUGGUUAGUUUGAGUUUUGACGGGGG
rnacentral:sRNA from 1 species